rnacentral:rRNA from 1 species
GACGAACGCUGGCGGCGUGCCUAACACAUGCAAGUCGAGCGGGGAGAGAUUUUCGGAUUUCUCUUUAGCGGCGGACGGGUGAGUAACACGUGGGUAACCUGCCUCAAAGAGGGGGAUAGCCUUCCGAAAGGAAGAUUAAUACCGCAUAAUAUCAGGAAGCUGCAUGGCAUUCUGAUUAAAGGAGCAAUCCGCUUUGAGAUGGACCCGCGGCGCAUUAGCUAGUUGGUGAGGUAACGGCCCACCAAGGCGACGAUGCGUAGCCGACCUGAGAGGGUGAUCGGCCACAUUGGAACUGAGACGCGGUCCAGACUCCUACGGGAGGCAGCAGUGGGGAAUAUUGCACAAUGGGGGAAACCCUGAUGCAGCAACGCCGCGUGAGUGAUGAAGGCCUUCGGGUCGUAAAGCUCUUUGAUCAGGGACGAUAAUGACGGUACCUGAAAAACAAGCCACGGCUAACUACGUGCCAGCCGCCGCCGUAAUAC